AGAUUCCUUGCCCUCCAGCCAAAGACCACCAGGCACACACCUGUAGUUUAACACGCUGGAUUUACUACUCAUUGGAGUGAGGGAGGACGAACACCCUGGGGAACCACAGUGUGUCUCAGGAAGAGGGUGUUAGAAAGAACCUAUUAUGGCCUCCCUGCUUUGGUUGGGGAAUUUGGGGGAUUGGGUGCUCCUAAAACUCAGGGGCAAUCCUAUGUAUCACAAUAAACCGUCUUUAAAGGGAGGACAGACUAAAACUGAUAAAGAAAUAACAUUCUGUCCAAGAGAGUAUGUAUACAAUAUUUUGUAGGUUGCACAGUGACCUUAUUUCAGUCUGUGCUUAGAUAAUAUUAUGAAGGGACCUCAUUUUGUCUUACUCUAUCAUGGUCACAGAGUGACCUUGUCUGAUGUUGGUGUUCUGGGAAAUUGCUUAUGCCCAACAGAAGAACAAUUUGGACUAGCUGUGUCAGGCCAGCUUCUGAAAAACCCUGAGGCCUAGCUUGAAGUGUCAGACCAGUUCCCAGAUGUCAGGGGCUAGGUUUUUAAUUUUUUCCCUUUCUCACACUUUUGUUUUACUGUAAAAAAACCCAGAGAAUUGAAGAUACUGCUCUUAAAAUAAUUUUUAAAGAUAUAUAAUGAGGUCAAAGACUCAUUUUUUGGUGCCAUCCUUACCCGUGAGAUUUUUAGCAGAGGAGGAAAAACACCGUGUUUAAUGAAGCUUAGAUGCCAAGUGAUAGAGACAGUUUCUAUUGGAAAUCGUCACUUUGUAAGAAAAAAAUGUCCCCUGCAUCCUCCUGAAUUUCAUAGUAAGUUUUCUUUAAUACCUAUCCUACUUUGGGUUCCCGCAGAAGCAGAAGCAGUCCCAGGGAUUAGUGUGUAAGUGGUUCACGAGAGAAACGAUCCCCCAGGGAGUAUCAGUAAAGAAGUGAAACAGGUAAAGGAAGAAUGUCAAUACUGUGUUUUAAUUAGCAGGUCGGGGUGUGGGUAACUAGUGUUCCGUCUUCCUAGGGACCUCUGAGAAUGAUUCAUUUAAGGUGCUCCAUGCAAGGGAGAGGAAGCAGGGGUGCUCAUUCUUCCAGUUCCCGGCUAUUGUUGGCUUAGGGUUGUAUUAGUUUACCACGGCUGAUUUUAAAAGCAUCACAAAAGUCAUAUUAUCUUGCUUGUUAUUAUGAUGCCUAAGGUUAUGAUCAUCAAUCAUCUUCCAGGUCUGUUAGUCGGGAGUCCACGGUGAAUCGCGGUUCGGUAAAACCACAAUGUCACUGAUUUUUAUAUUCCCCAAAUGAAUGAGACCAUAUAAUGUUAGUGAAAGGGAAUAAAGAGAAAGGAGAGAAAAUGAGUGGGAACUAU
rnacentral:lncRNA from 1 species